AUGAGCUGGCGGCAGGCCUAACACAUGCAAGUCGAGCGGUAACAUUUCUAGCUUGCUAGAAGAUGACGAUCGGCGGACGGGUGAGUAAUGCUUGGGAAUAUGCCUUAAGGUGGGGGACAACAGUUGGAAACGACUACUAUACCGCAUAACGUCUACGGACCAAAGAGGGGCUUCGGCUCUCGCCCUUAGAUUAGCCCAAGUGGGAUUAGCUAGUUGGUGAGGGUAAUGGGCUCACCAAGGGCGACGAUCCCUAGCUGGUUUGAGAGGGAUGAUCAGCCACACUGGAACUGAGACACGGUCCAGACUCCUACGGGAGGGCAGCAGUGGGGAAUAUUGCACAAUGGGCGCAAGCCUGAUGCAGCCAUGCCGCGUGUGUGAAGAAGGCCUUAGGGUUGUAAAGCACUUUCAGUAAGGAGGAAAGGUUAGUAGUUAAUACCUGCUAGCUGUGACGUUACUUACAGAAGAAGCACCGGCUUAACUCCGUGCCAGCAGCCGCGGUAAUACGGAGGGUGCGAGCGUUAAUCGGAAUUACUGGGCGUAAAGCGUACGCAGGCCGGUUUGUUAAGCGAGAUGUGAAAGCCCCGGGCUCAACCUGGGAACUGCAUUUCGAACUGGCAAACUAGAGUAUGAUAGAGGGUGGUAGAAUUUCAGGUGUAGCGGUGAAAUGCGUAGAGAUCUGAAGGAAUACCGAUUGGCGAAGGCAGCCACCUGGGUUAAUACUGACGC
rnacentral:rRNA from 1 species